GCCCAGAUAGCUCAGUUGGUAGAGCGGCGCAUUCGUAAUGCGUAGGUCGUAGGUUCGAUCCCUAUUCUGGGCACCA
rnacentral:tRNA from 1 species